GACGAACGCUGGCGGCGUGCCUAAUACAUGCAAGUAGAACGCUGAAGAGAGGAGCUUGCUCUUCUUGGAUGAAUUGCGAACGGGUGAGUAACGCGUAGGUAACCUGCCUUGUAGCGGGGGAUAACUAUUGGAAACGAUAGCUAAUACCGCAUAACAAUGGAUGACACAUGUCAUUUAUUUGAAAGGGGCAAUUGCUCCACUACAAGAUGGACCUGCGUUGUAUUAGCUAGUAGGUGAGGUAACGGCUCACCUAGGCGACGAUACAUAGCCGACCUGAGAGGGUGAUCGGCCACACUGGGACUGAGACACGGCCCAGACUCCUACGGGAGGCAGCAGUAGGGAAUCUUCGGCAAUGGGGGCAACCCUGACCGAGCAACGCCGCGUGAGUGAAGAAGGUUUUCGGAUCGUAAAGCUCUGUUGUAAGUCAAGAACGAGUGUGAGAGUGGAAAGUUCACACUGUGACGGUAGCUUACCAGAAAGGGACGGCUAACUACGUGCCAGCAGCCGCGGUAAUACGUAGGUCCCGAGCGUUGUCCGGAUUUAUUGGGCGUAAAGCGAGCGCAGGCGGUUUGAUAAGUCUGAAGUUAAAGGCUGUGGCUCAACCAUAGUUUGCUUUGGAAACUGUCAAACUUGAGUGCAGAAGGGGAGAGUGGAAUUCCAUGUGUAGCGGUGAAAUGCGUAGAUAUAUGGAGGAACACCGGUGGCGAAAGCGGCUCUCUGUUCUGUAACUGACGCUGAGGCUCGAAAGCGUGGGGAGCGAACAGGAUUAGAUACCCUGGUAGUCCACGCCGUAAACGAUGAGUGCUAGGUGUUGGAUCCUUUCCGGGAUUCAGUGCCGCAGCUAACGCAUUAAACACUCCGCCUGGGGAGUACGACCGCAAGGUUGAAACUCAAAGGAAUUGACGGGGGCCCGCACAAGCGGUGGAGCAUGUGGUUUAAUUCGAAGCAACGCGAAGAACCUUACCAGGUCUUGACAUCCCGAUGCUAUUUCUAGAGAUAGAAAGUUACUUCGGUACAUCGGUGACAGGUGGUGCAUGGUUGUCGUCAGCUCGUGUCGUGAGAUGUUGGGUUAAGUCCCGCAACGAGCGCAACCCCUAUUGUUAGUUGCCAUCAUUCAGUUGGGCACUCUAGCGAGACUGCCGGUAAUAAACCGGAGGAAGGUGGGGAUGACGUCAAAUCAUCAUGCCCCUUAUGACCUGGGCUACACACGUGCUACAAUGGUUGGUACAACGAGUUGCAAGUCGGUGACGGCAAGCUAAUCUCUUAAAGCCAAUCUCAGUUCGGAUUGUAGGCUGCAACUCGCCUACAUGAAGUCGGAAUCGCUAGUAAUCGCGGAUCAGCACGCCGCGGUGAAUACGUUCCCGGGCCU
rnacentral:rRNA from 1 species